rnacentral:rRNA from 1 species
AACGUAGGAGACAAACGUUAUCCGGAGUUACUGGGCGUAAAGGGCGCGUAGGCGGCCACGCACGUCCGUUGUGAAAUCGCCCGGCUCAACUGGGCGGGGUCAGCGGAUACGGUGUGGCUAGAGCAAGCUAGGGGGCAAUGGAAUUCCCGGUGUAGUGGUGGAAUGCGUAGAUAUCGGGAGGAACACCAGUGGCGAAGGCGGUUGCCUGGAGCUUUGCUGACGCUGAUGCGCGAAAGCGUGGGAGCGAUCCGG